GAUGAACGCUGGCGGCGUGCUUAACACAUGCAAGUCGAACGAAGCACUUUAUUUGAUUUGCUUCGGGACUGAUGAUUUUGUGACUGAGUGGCGGACGGGUGAGUAACGCGUGGGUAACCUGCCUUGUGGAGGGGGAUAACAGUUGGAAACGGCUGCUAAUACCGCAUAGGGGCGGGGGGUCACAUGAUGCGGUGUGGAAAGGUCGGGUGGUAUAAGAUGGACGCGGGUUGGAUUAGCUAGUUGGUGAGGUAACGGCAAACCUAGGCGGGGAGGCAUAGCGGACAGGGGAGGCGGCCAGGCCACAUUGGAAAUGAGACACGGACCAAUCUGCUACGCAAGGGUGCAGUAGGGAAUAUUGCACAAUGAGGGAAAGCGUGACGCCGCGGCGCCGCGGGAGCGAACAAGUAGGUCGGAAUGUAAUGCUCUAUGAGCAGGGAAGAUAAUGACGGUACCUGACUAAGAAGCACCGGCUAACUACGUG
rnacentral:rRNA from 1 species